UGCAGAAUCCCGUGAACCAUCGAGUCUUUGAACGCAAGUUGCGCCCGAGGCUACUUGGCCGAGGGCACGCCUGCCUGGGCGUCAUGCCUCACAUCGCUCAGUGCCCCCCGCCUCCCAAGGCCAUAGCAUUGGGAAGCGGCGGCGCGGAUGCGGAGAUUGACCUCCCGUGCCUUGCGGCGCGGCGGGUUGAAAUGAUUGUCGCUGGUCGGGUCGGACACGGCGAAUGGUGGACAGACACAAAUGACGCUGAACGCUGUGUACUCGACCCUAAGCCAAAGCGGCGCGUGCAAGGAGCCCAUGCCGACGGGCGUUCAAGAACGCCCUCGGACCACGACCCCAGGUCAGGCGGGGCCACCCGCUGAGUUUAAGCAUAUCAAUAAGCGGAGGAGAAGAAACUUACAAGGAUUCCCCUAGUAACGGCGAGCGAACCGGGAAUAGCCCAGCUUGGGAAUCGGGCGGCCGCGCCACCCGA
rnacentral:rRNA from 2 species